ACUGGGGAUAAUACUGGAUAACGCAUAUGUGCUGGAAUGCUUUAUGCGUAAAACGGAUUCGUCCGCCCAAGGAUGGGUCUGCGGCCUAUCAGGUAGUAGUGGGUGUAAUGUACCUACUAGCCAACAACGGGUACGGGUUGUGAGAGCAAGAGCCCGGAGAUGGAUUCUGAGACAUGAAUCCAGGCCCUACGGGGCGCAGCAGGCGCGAAAACUUUACAAUGCGGGAAACCGUGAUAAGGGAACACCGAGUGCCAGCAUCAUAUGCUGGCUGUCCAGAUGUGUAAACUACAUCUGUUAGCAAGGGCCGGGCAAGACCGGUGCCAGCCGCCGCGGUAACACCGGCGGCCCGAGUGGUGACCGUUAUUAUUGGGUCUAAAGGGUCCGUAGCCGGUUUGGUCAGUCCUCCGGGAAAUCUGAUAGCUUAACUGUUAGGCUUUCGGGGGAUACUGCCAGGCUUGGAACCGGGAGAGGUAAGAGGUACUACAGGGGUAGGAGUGAAAUCUUGUAAUCCCUGUGAGACCACCUGUGGCGAAGGCGUCUUACCAGAACGGGUUCGACGGUGAGGGACGAAAGCUGGGGGCACGAACCGGAUUAGAUACCCGGGUAGUCCCAGCCGUAAACUAUGCUCGCUAGGUGUCAGGCAUGGCGCGACCGUGUCUGGUGCCGCAGGGAAGCCGUGAAGCGAGCCACCUGGGAAGUACGGCCGCAAGGCUGAAACUGAAAGGAAUUGGCGGG
rnacentral:rRNA from 1 species